UCUAACGGCCAAUCAGGAUAUCGGAAAUAACUAGCUGUGUGGAUGUACCAGUAGCAUCUUCCUUUGUUCUGCGGAAUGUGUAGUGAUUGAUGGACGCAUUCGGAAUGGAGGGACAGGUGCAGCGAGUUCGGACAGGAAUUCAAGAGAAGAUGACUCAGGCGGUGCAUGAAAUUCAGCAGAAGCUGAAUCGGUAUUUGCUGUUGGAUCAACAGUUUAAGACAGUUUGAUGUUGACCUCCAGGAUUAUAUUCUCCGGGUUGAGGUGUUGCUACAGAAUAGGAACAGCCAGACUGGGGGAGUUGGUCACGAAUAGAUGAGUCACCGCUGACCCUAUCUGCGGUUCGACGUACAUAUACGUCUGACUGUAACAGGGAGCAAAAUGAAUAUCAAGGACCUCCCAAACUUUGCAGUGAAGAGUAAGAAAUUGACGAAAGGAGAGCACUGGUCAACACUGGAGAUGUGGCAGUUCUCGCUUGGCAAGUCACCAUGAUAUCUACAUACCACAAAGAUGAUAUGUGUGUGACCGUAAACAGAGCCAAGCGAGAAGAAACAAAGCCUGUGGUUGUUCGUGAUUAUAACAAAAACAUGCUGGGAGUGGAUCUAAAGGAUCAAAUGCUACAACCGUACUUGCUGGAACGAAAACGAGGAACAAAGUGGUAUAUAAAAUUGUUCAAGAGACUACUCUAUGUUGCAAUACAUAAUGCGAUGAUCAUAUACCGCUCUCUCCCAAAUAACAAAGUGACCCUGAAAUUCAGAAUUUCAUUAGCACAAGGCCUCGUAGAAAAGCACGGUCCUGGUGUUCCGCGUCCUGUAUCCGGCCGUCCGUCAGUUGAGUUGCAUACUGUUUUUGAAUUUUGCCUGUUUUGACAUUUGGUUCAGUUAUAUUUUGGUGAAUUGUGCUUAGUAUUGAAGUUUAUAAGCCUGAGCAUUAGAACUUGUAGUUUCUAUUAACAAAAUAAAGCUAGUUCAUACAUAAA